rnacentral:rRNA from 1 species
CCUUUGACGUUAGCGGCGGACGGGUGAGUAACACGUGGGUAACCUACCUAUAAGACUGGGAUAACUUCGGGAAACCGGAGCUAAUACCGGAUAAUAUUUCGAACCGCAUGGUUCGAUAGUGAAAGGUGGUUUUGCUAUCACUUAUAGAUGGACCCGCGCCGUAUUAGCUAGUUGGUAAGGUAACGGCUUACCAAGGCGACGAUACGUAGCCGACCUGAGAGGGUGAUCGGCCACGCUGGAACUGAGACACGGUCCAGACUCCUACGGGAGGCAGCAGGC